rnacentral:rRNA from 1 species
AUAAGAGCAUAUGGUGGAUGCCUUGGCGAUGAUAGGCGACGAAAGACGUGAUAGCCUGCGAAAAGCUUCGGGGAGCUGGCAAAUAAGCUUUGAUCCGGAGGUGUCUGAAUGGGGAAACCCACCCUUAGGGGUAUCCUGAGCUGAAUACAUAGGCUCAGGAGGCGAACCGGGUGAACUGAAACAUCUCAGUAGCUCGAGGAAAAGAAAUCAACCGAGAUUCCGAUAGUAGUGGCGAGCGAAAUCGGAAGAGCCUGUUAGUGAUAGCACGAUGUUUAACGGAACGAUUUGGAAAGGUCGGCCAUAGCGGGUGAUAGCCCCGUACGUGAAAAGCAACGUGUGGUACUGAGUUAACGACAAGUAGGGCGGGACACGUGUAAUCCUGUCUGAAUAUGGGGGGACCAUCCUCCAAGGCUAAAUACUCAUCAUCGACCGAUAGUGAACAAGUACCGUGAGGGAAAGGCGAAAAGAACCCCGGGAGGGGAGUGAAAUAGAUCCUGAAACCGUGUGCUUACAAAAAGUAGGAGCCUCGCAAGGGGUGACUGCGUACCUUUUGUAUAAUGGGUCAGCGACUUACAUUCAGUGGCAAGCUUAACCGAAUAGGGAAGGCGUAGGGAAACCGAGUCCGAAUAGGGCGAUUCAGUCGCUGGGUGUAGACCCGAAACCAAGUGAUCUAUCCAUGGCCAGGAUGAAGGUGCCGUAACAGGUACUGGAGGUCCGAACCGACUAAUGUUGCAAAAUUAGCGGAUGAGCUGUGGAUAGGGGUGAAAGGCUAAACAAACUUGGAGAUAGCUGGUUCUCUCCGAAAACUAUUUAGGUAGUGCCUCAAGUAUUACCUGCGGGGGUAGAGCACUGUUUUGGCUAGGGGGUCAUGGCGACUUACCAAACCAAGGCAAACUCCGAAUACCGCAGAGUACAGCUUGGGAGACAGAGCACCGGGUGCUAACGUCCGGACUCAAGAGGGAAACAACCCAGACCGCCAGCUAAGGUCCCUAAAAUUGGCUAAGUGGGAAACGAAGUGGGAAGGCUAAAACAGUCAGGAUGUUGGCUUAGAAGCAGCCAUCAUUUAAAGAAAGCGUAAUAGCUCACUGAUCGAGUCGUCCUGCGCGGAAGAUGUAACGGGGCUAAGCCAGUUACCGAAGCUGCGGAUUUGCAAUUUAUUGCAAGUGGUAGGAGAGCGUUCUGUAAGCCUGUGAAGGUGUCUUGUGAAGGAUGCUGGAGGUAUCAGAAGUGCGAAUGCUGACAUGAGUAGCGUUAAAGGGGGUGAAAAGCCCCCUCGCCGUAAGCGCAAGGUUUCCUACGCAACGUUCAUCGGCGUAGGGUGAGUCGGCCCCUAAGGUGAGGCAGAGAUGCGUAGCUGAUGGGAAACAGGUUAAUAUUCCUGUACCGAUUACAAGUGCGAUGUGGGGACGGAGAAGGUUAGCUCAGCCAACUGUUGGAUAUGUUGGUUCAAGCCUGUAGUCAUGCCUGGUAGGCAAAUCCGCCGGGCUAAGAUGAGGGGUGAUAACGAGUGUGCUUGCACACGAAGUGAGUGAUACCCUGCUUCCAGGAAAAGCCACUAAGCUUCAGCUUGUAACGACCGUACCGCAAACCGACACUGGUGCGCGAGAUGAGUAUUCUAAGGCGCUUGAGAGAACUCUGGAGAAGGAACUCGGCAAAUUGACACCGUAACUUCGGGAGAAGGUGUGCCCUCAGUAGGUGAACCUGUACAAGGGGAGCCCAAAGGGGUUGCAAAGAAUAGGUGGCUGCGACUGUUUAUUAAAAACACAGCACUCUGCAAACACGAAAGUGGACGUAUAGGGUGUGACGCCUGCCCGGUGCUGGAAGAUUAAUUGAUGGGGUGCAAGCUCUUGAUCGAAGUCCCAGUAAACGGCGGCCGUAACUAUAACGGUCCUAAGGUAGCGAAAUUCCUUGUCGGGUAAGUUCCGACCUGCACGA